rnacentral:rRNA from 1 species
UACGUAGGGUGCAAGCGUUGUCCGGAAUUAUUGGGCGUAAAGAGCUCGUAGGCGGUUUGUUGCGUCGGCUGUGAAAUCCCGAGGCUCAACCUCGGGUCUGCAGUCGAUACGAGCAAACUAGAGUGUUGCAGGGGAGACUGGAAUUCCUGGUGUAGCGGUGAAAUGCGCAGAUAUCAGGAGGAACACCGGUGGCGGAAGGCGGGGUCUCUGGGGCAACAACUGACGCUGGAGGAGCGAAAGCGUGGGGAGCGAACAGG